rnacentral:rRNA from 1 species
GACGAACGCUGGCGGCGUGCUUAACACAUGCAAGUCGAACGGUAAGGCCCUUCGGGGUACACGAGUGGCGAACGGGUGAGUAACACGUGGGUGAUCUGCCCUGCACUUCGGGAUAAGCCUGGGAAACUGGGUCUAAUACCGGAUAGGACUCCUGGCUUCAUGGUUGGGGGUGGAAAGCUCUUGCGGUGUGGGAUGGGCCCGCGGCCUAUCAGCUUGUUGGUGGGGUAAUGGCCUACCAAGGCGACGACGGGUAGCCGGCCUGAGAGGGUGACCGGUCACACUGGGACUGAGAUACGGCCCAGACUCCUACGGGAGGCAGCAGUGGGGAAUAUUGCACAAUGGGCGCAAGCCUGAUGCAGCGACGCCGCGUGAGGGAUGACGGCCUUCGGGUUGUAAACCUCUUUCAGCAUCGACGAAGCGAAAGUGACGGUAGGUGCAGAAGAAGGACCGGCCAACUACGUGCCAGCAGCCGCCGUAA